UACCACAUACCACCCUUUUGGGAUUCUGAAAUGUCUUACUGAGCACUUUAUUCAAUCUAAAUUUAAAUAGAACUUUUCACCACUUCCCAAGAGAGAAACAACAAUGAAGGAGAUGAGAGCGAGAGGAACUGCACAGAGAUUUUACACAUUUCACCAAGGGCUACUGCAGAGGUAAAAAAGAUCACAGAAAUUGGAGAAUAUAAAGGAGAAGAUGUGUGUUCUGAAGUUCUUGCAUUGCCUUCUGGAUGUAGCUCAAUCAGUGCCCAGUGGUUCUUCUCUUACCAUGUGGUGCGGCAACUGUCCAAGUAUUUUCUAGGAGGAGUGAUAUUAAUUCAUCCCAGUGACACCAGCCCAGGGUUAACACCACCCACAGGGGGCUGGGCUAGGACAGUCUGAUAGAGGCAAUUCCUCAGUUGUGUUUCCCUCUUGUCAGUGUCAAAAACAUGCUGUUCCAGGAAGCCUACUGAGACAAGGAGAGUGAGAAACAUGCACUAAAUACACCCAGAUGAUCCUGCAAUAAAAAAAUAUUUCUUUCCAAGCUUCUAGCUUCUUAUUCUUGAUUAUCUACUGAAGGUUUCCCUAUGUCAACAAACUGGAGCUCAGCUGAAGAUUUGCCAUCCAAAAUAUGUUGACAUUGUUUGAAACUGCUGAGUUUGAGAAGAU
ensembl:lincRNA Gm29398 predicted gene 29398